GUAAACAGAGGCUGGAGCGCAGCGCCACAGGUAGCAUCAGGUAGCAUCAUGUAGCUGCGGCUUUCAGCGGGUUCUGCUGGUUCUGCUAAGUCUUUCAUCUGACUCGAACAUGAAGCGAACAGAACCAACCUCUGGGAGGAAUUUGUGACCAUGUGACUGUGGGCCCUAAGUGGGUCAGUUUGGGGUGCUGUUGUGGUUCUGAGGUGAUGGAGAGCUGGACCCCGAACCCCCGGGCCAAGCCGUUCAUCCCGCGGCAGCAGAGGAGCUGGUACCUGACCUGGAAGUACCGGCUGACCCAGAGGAGGAGCCUCCGGCGGUUCUGUCAGGCCGGCGCCGUGCUGUUCCUCUUCGUCACCGUUGUGGUGAACAUCAAGCUGAUCCUGGACACGCGGCGAGUCGCUGAUGAAGACGCUGCCGAUCAGGAAUACGACGUUGUUCCCAACAUGGAGACUCCUCGCCGGCCGGCCAGCGGCAGGAAGGUUCUGGACAUCGAGGUUUACUCCAGCCGCUCCAAGGUCUAUGUGGCCGUGGACGGAACCACGGUUCUGGAGGACGACAUGCGGGAGCAGGGCCGAGGCGUUCACGUCAUCGUCCUCAACCAGGCCACCGGUCAUGUGAUGGCCAAGCGGAUCUUCGACACUUACUCCCCCCACGAGGAUGAAGCCAUGAUCCUCUUCCUCAACAUGGUGACCCGCGGCCGGAUCCUCAUCUUCACCGUCAAGGAUGAGGGAACAUUCCACCUGAAGGACGCAGCCAAGAACCUGCUGAAGAGCCUGGGCAGCCAGGCGGCGCUGGGCCUGAGCUGGAGGGACAUGUGGACCCUGGUGGUGAAGAAAGGAGGUCAGGUGUACGGAGAGAAGCACUCCAAGUCUCCGGCUCUAUCCACGUGGGGCGACCCGGUUCUGCUGAAGACCGAGGUCCAGCUCACCGCCGCUGAAGAGGCCGAGUGCCACUGGGCCGACACAGAGCUCAACCGGAGGAGGAAGCUGUUCUGCAGCAAGGUGGAGGGAUACGGCAGCAUCUGCAGCUGCAAAGAUCCGGCGCCCAUCGAGUUCAACCCCGACCCGCUUCCCAGUAACAACGUCUUCAAUGUCCCAGUGGCCGUCAUCGCUGGGAACCGCCCCAACUACCUGUACCGGAUGUUGCGCUCGCUGCUCUCGGCUCAUGGAGUCAACCCGCAGAUGAUCACCGUCUUCAUCGACGGAUAUUACGAGGAGCCCAUGGACGUGGUGGAGCUGUUCGGGUUGAAGGGCGUCCAGCACACGCCCAUCAGCAUCAAGAACGCCCGCGUCGCCCAGCACUACAAAGCGAGUCUGACGGCGACCUUUAACCUUCACCCUGAUGCCGGGUUUGCCGUGGUUCUGGAGGAGGACCUGGACAUCUCUGUGGACUUCUUCAGCUUCCUGAGUCAGACCAUCCACCUGUUGGACCAGGACGACAGCCUGUACUGCAUCUCAGCCUGGAACGACCAGGGCUAUGAGCACACAGCGGAGGACCCCGCCCUCCUCUACCGGGUGGAGAGCAUGCCCGGCCUGGGCUGGGUGCUGAAGAAGAGCAUCUACAAGGACGAGCUGGAGCCAAAAUGGCCGACCCCUGAAAAGCUCUGGGAUUGGGACAUGUGGAUGAGGAUGCCGGAGCAGAGGAAAGGCAGAGAGUGCAUCAUUCCCGACGUGUCGCGCUCCUACCACUUCGGCAUCAUCGGCCUCAACAUGAAUGGAUAUUUCCAUGAAGUUUAUUUCAAGAAGCACAAGUUUAACACAAUUCCCAACGUUCAGCUGAGGAACGUGGAGAGUUUGAGGAAAGACGCAUACGAGGUGGAGAUGCAGAAGCUGCUGAGGGAGGCGGAGCUGCUGGAUCACUCCAGGAAUCCCUGCGAGGACUCGUUCGUCCCGGACACGGAGGGCAAGACCUACGUCAUGUUCAUAAAGAUGGAGUCUGAGCUGGACACGUCCACCUGGACCGAGCUGGCUAAGUGCCUCCACGUUUGGGACCUGGAUGUUCGAGGAUAUCACAGAGGACUCUGGCGGCUCUUCAGGAAAAGGAACCACAUUCUGGUCAUUGCCGUGCCGAUCUCUCCGUACUCGAACUAGUGUUGCUGUCCAAUCAGCAUGUAAGCCGCUGAGCCCUGGAUCAUCUUCAGUCCGGCAACUCAAAGGCAGGUAAGGACAAACAAACCAGAGUUAAGCAAACAGAACUAACUUCAAGUUGAUAUAAAUACAUAUGCUUCAUUUCCAGAUGUUGUCCAACAGUAUUUUUAUAAGAGCGUAAAGCUGCCAGGUUAGAAGCUUCAAUAUCAGAGUGACGUUGAUCAGUUGGAUGGAUAAGAAAGCCCGACAUGGGAGACUUCUGGUGUCAUGGCGAACAGUGUGGCAGCAUAGAAAAGAGGUCCUGCGUCGCUAGAUAUAAAACCCCCCUAAUCCAAGGUUUAGCGCGUUAAAAGUUACUCUCUCUCAAGAAGAAUGAGUGGGGAUAAAAACAAGAAGGGACGAGUCCAGUCUCGGAACUCGGAAAUGCGACACGAAAGCAAAGCCUGCGGAGCACAUGCGGUCGAGGAAGAGUUAAGAUGGCGGAUGAGGCCUUGCCUGCUACAAUUAGCUCACUAAGAAAGGUGGUGAGUGAAGUAAUGGCGGAGGGGACGCAGGACCUCAAAUCAGAAAUGAAGAAGGAGUUAGCGCAAGAGAGAAUGAGCUUAAAGGAGGAAAUUAAAGUCCUAUUGAACGAGCUGACAAAUGAAAUAAAUCAACGGGUUAGUGCUGCUAUCAACAAGACCGAGGAGAUGGGUAAGCGUCUUGGAGAAAUGGAGAAGAGCAUGGCAGAGAAAGAGAGAUGGGACAUUGGAGUGAGAGAUGCUAUCGUCCAGCUGCUAAAUGACCAGAAAUUACUUCGGGAGAAGAUCACGGAUUUGGAAGGACGCUCACGCCAGAAUAAUUUGCGGUAUAUGGCAUCCCUGAAAAUGCAGAAGGUACCUCAAUGCAGUCGUACGUGGAAAACACGCUUCGAACUGAACUCGGGGACAGUUUGGGUCUGGGCAGUGAGAAGAAUCUGGGGGUAGAGAGAGCCCACAGAGCGCUGGGUGCGCAGCCUCCAACGGGGGCUCCACCUCAGUCCACGGUGGUACGCUUCCUGAAAUUUAACGUUAAAGAACAAAUUCUCCGCGCGGCGUGGAAGAAGCCUAUAUAUAUACAAGAAAAACACAUAUUCUUCGACCACGAUUAUGCUGAAAACAUACAACUGAAGAGGAGAGAGUAUGCUCCGGUUAAGAAAGCACUCAAAGAAAACGCUAUCCGGUUCCAAACCCCGAUGGCUAAAAUGCGUGUGCACUUUGACUCCGGCAUGGUCAUCUACAGCAGCGCGGAGGAGGCUGCGCUGGACCUGAGAAGACAUGGAUUCACAGUGGGACCGGUGUCUGCAAACAGGUCCAAAGUCAUCACAGCGGAGGCGAUCAACAAUCUUCUUUCAACGGAUAUAGUGAGACCGCGACGCGUUGGGAGCGCGCGAAAAGCUGAAGGUGUUUCAGCGGCCAGGCGGAGAGGACGUUGCUGUGGUUGAAUAAUCCUUCUUUAUCUCCACUGAAGAAACAAUUGAGAGAAGCAGACCAUCUGAUUAGUACCAGUGUGUCACGGGGUGGCUGUCUCUGCACAGGAGUAUGGUGAGGACUGUGACCCCCCCCUUCAUAAUUGGAGUAAUGAAGAACCGAUGCAGGGCUAGGAGUGUUGUCAUGGUGUCUAGAGGAUAUGCAGUGUUAUAAUAUACAGACGCUGAAUGUGAAUGGUAUAAAAAAUCCCAUUAAAAGAAGCAAGAUCAUUUCAAAGUUUAAACGAGAGCAGGUUGGCAUUGGUUUCUUACAGGAAACACAUUUGUCAAAUGAAGAACAUGAGAAAAUAAAGAAAAUGGGUUAUAGAAAAACAUAUUUUACUUCUCACAGAUCGGGUAAAAAAAGAGGGGUAGCCAUUCUUAUAUCAAACAACAUCAGAUUUUAUUUUAUUUCAGAACAUAAAGAUAAAGAAGGCAGAUUUGUGUUGUUAAAGGGGAAGUUGGAACAGGAAAAGAUCACCCUGUGUAAUAUAUAUGCUCCCCCCGGUAGUAGUAUAGAUUUCUUUAAGGAGGUAUUUAGUCUUGUGGCCGCAGAAGCAGACGGCACAUGUAUAUGUUCAGGCGAUUUUAAUUUACUCCUAAACCCGAAAAUGGACACAACUAGCAGAGAGAGAAGAAAGACUCACUUAGAAAAACAAUUCAAUAAAAUCCUUCAGGAAUUGGGACUCACAGAUAUAUGGAGAUACUUCCAUAAACAUGACCGUGGAUUUACUUUUUACUCUAAUAGGCAUAACAUACAUACUAGAAUUGAUUAUUUUUUUAUGUUCAAUAGGGACCUUCACAGAGUGAAAGAUUGUAUAAUAGGCCAAAGAGACAUUUCUGAUCAUUCUGGGUUAAAUAUGAAAAUUAAAAACUAGAAAUCCUAAAAACACUUUAUGGAGGCUCAACACAAGUUUAUUAAAUAGUACUGCAUUCAAAACAGAAAUGAAAGAGGAGCUUAAAAGUUACUUAGAAUUUAAUGAUAAUGGGACAGUUAGCCCUACAAUUCUGUGGGAUGCAGCUGAAGCCUAUAUUAGGGGUAAAAUAAUUGCAAAAUGUGCUAACUUGAAGAAGAUUAGAGAGAAAAAACUAACGGACUUGCAGGAAAAUUUAAAAGGACUGGAGCAACUGCAUUCGAUUAACAAAAGUCUCUCCUUAUUAGAACAAAUGAGGCCUAUUAAGCAGGAGAUUCACAAAAUUUUAAGUGAGGAAA